AGUGAACGCUGGCGGCGUGCUUAACACAUGCAAGUCGAACGAGAACGGGUUAUAGCUUGCUAUAAUUGUCAGCUAAGUGGCGCACGGGUGAGUAAUGUAUAGGUAAUAUGCCUCUUACUAAGGGAUAACAAAUGGAAACGUUUGCUAAUACCUUAUACUCCUUAUUAACAGAAGUUAAUAAGGGAAAGAUUUAUUGGUAAGAGAUUAGCCUGUAUUGUAUCAGUUAGUUGGUGGGGUAAUGGCUUACCAAGACUAUGACACAUAACUGGUUUGAGAGGAUGAUCAGUCACACUGGAACUGAGACACGGUCCAGACUCCUACGGGAGGCAGCAGUGGGGAAUAUUGCACAAUGGACGAAAGUCUGAUGCAGCAACGCCGCGUGGAGGAUGACACAUUUCGGUGCGUAAACUCCUUUUAUAUGAGAAGAUAGUGACGGUAUUAUAUGAAUAAGCACCGGCUAACUCCGUGCCAGCAGCCGCGGUAAAAC
rnacentral:rRNA from 1 species